GACGAACGCUGGCGGCGUGCUUAACACAUGCAAGUCGAACGGAAAGGCCCCCUUGUGGGGUACUCGAGUGGCGAACAGGUGAGUAACACGUGAGUAACCUACCCUUGACUUUGGGAUAACUUCAGGAAACUGGGGCUAAUACCGGAUAGGAGCUCCUGCUGCAUGGUGGGGGUUGGAAAGUUUCGGCGGUUGGGGAUGGACUCGCGGCUUAUCAGCUUGUUGGUGGGGUAGUGGCUCACCAAGGCUUUGACGGGUAGCCGGCCUGAGAGGGUGACCGGCCACAUUGGGACUGAGAUACGGCCCAGACUCCUACGGGAGGCAGCAGUGGGGAAUAUUGCACAAUGGGCGGAAGCCUAAUGCAGCAACGCCGCGUGCGGGAUGACGGCCUUCGGGUUGUAAACCGCUUUCGCCUGUGACGAAGCGUGAGUGACGGUAAUGGGUAAAGAAGCACCGGCUAACUACGUG
rnacentral:rRNA from 1 species